GAUGAACGCUGGCGGCGUGCCUAAUACAUGCAAGUCGAGCGAACAGACGAAGAGUUUGCUCCUCUGACGUUAGCGGCGGACGGGUGAGUAACACGUGGAUAACCUACCUAUAAGACUGGGAUAACUUCGGGAAACCGGAGCUAAUACCGGAUAAUAUAUUGAACCGCAUGGUUCAAUAGUGAAAGACGGUUUUGCUGUCACUUAUAGAUGGAUCCGCGCCGCAUUAGCUAGUUGGUAGGGUAACGGCUUACCAAGGCAACGAUGCGUAGCCGACCUGAGAGGGUGAUCGGCCACACUGGAACUGAGACACGGUCCAGACUCCUACGGGAGGCAGCAGUAGGGAAUCUUCCGCAAUGGGCGAAAGCCUGACGGAGCAACGCCGCGUGAGUGAUGAAGGUCUUCGGAUCGUAAAACUCUGUUAUUAGGGAAGAACAAAUGUGUAAGUAACUAUGCACGUCUUGACGGUACCUAAUCAGAAAGCCACGGCUAACUACGUG
rnacentral:rRNA from 1 species